GGUCAUAGCUCAGUGGUCGAGCACUUGCCUAGCAUGUGUGAGGUACUGGGUUCGAUUCUCAGCACCG
rnacentral:tRNA from 1 species